rnacentral:rRNA from 1 species
CCUACGGGGGGCAGCAGUGAGGAAUAUUGGUCAAUGGGCUUACGCCUGAACCAGCCAAGUCGCGUGAGGGAAGACUGCCCUAUGGGUUGUAAACCUCUUUUGUCAGGGAGCAACGCCGGCUACGUGUAGCCGGACUGAGAGUACCUGAAGAAAACGCAUCGGCUAACUCCGUGCCAGCAGCCGCGGUAAUACGGAGGAUGCGAGCGUUAUCGGGAUUUAUGGGGUUUAAAGGGUGCGUAGGCGGAAUGCCAAGUCAGGGGUAAAAUCGCGGGGCUCAACCUCGCUCCGCCGUUGAUACUGGCGUUCUUGAGUGGGCGAGAAGUAUGCGGAAUGCGUGGUGUAGCGGUGAAAUGCAUAGAUAUCACGCAGAACUCCGAUUGCGAAGGCAGCAUACCGGCGCCCAACUGACGCUGAAGCACGAAAGCGUGGGUAUCGAACAGGAUUAGAUACCCUAGUAGUC